rnacentral:rRNA from 1 species
CCUACGGGGAGCUGCAGUGAGGAAUAUUGGUCAAUGGGCGGGAGCCUGAACCAGCCAAGUCGCGUGAGGGAAGACGGUCCUAUGGAUUGUAAACCUCUUUAGGCGGGGAGCAAUGCCGGGCACGUGUGCGCGGAGGGAGAUUACCCGCAGCAUAAGCAUCGGCUAACUCCGUGCCAGCAGCCGCGGUAAUACGGGGGAUGCGAGCGUUUUCCGGAUUUAUUGGGUUAAAGGGGUGCGUAGGCGGAUGUUUAAGUCAGCGGUAAACUGUCCGGGCUCAACCCGGGACGGUCGUUGAAACUGGGGAUCUUGAGUGGGCGAGAAGUAUGCGGAAUGCGGGGUGUAGCGGUGAAAGGCAUAGAUAUCACGCAGAACUCCGAUUGCGAAGGCAGCAUACCGGCGCCCGACUGACGCUGAGGCACGAAAGCGUGGGGAUCGAACAGGAUUAGAUACCCCUGUAGUC